rnacentral:rRNA from 1 species
UACGUAGGGUGCGAGCGUUGUCCGGAAUUAUUGGGCGUAAAGGGCUCGUAGGCGGUCUGUCACGUCGGGAGUGAAAACUCAGGGCUUAACCCUGAGCCUGCUUCCGAUACGGGCAGACUAGAGGUAUGCAGGGGAGAACGGAAUUCCUGGUGUAGCGGUGAAAUGCGCAGAUAUCAGGAGGAACACCGGUGGUGAAGGCGGGUCUCUGGGCCGAUACUGACGCUGAGGAGCGAAAGCGUGGGGAGCGAACAGG